AGUGGCGGACGGGUGAGUAAUGUCUGGGAAACUGCCUGAUGGAGGGGGAUAACUACUGGAAACGGNAGCUAAUACCGCAUAACGUCGCAAGACCAAAGAGGGGGACCUUCGGGCCUCUUGCCAUCGGAUGUGCCCAGAUGGGAUUAGCUAGUAGGUGGGGUAACGGCUCACCUAGGCGACGAUCCCUAGCUGGUCUGAGAGGAUGACCAGCCACACUGGAACUGAGACACGGUCCAGACUCCUACGGGAGGCAGCAGUGGGGAAUAUUGCACAAUGGGCGCAAGCCUGAUGCAGCCAUGCCGCGUGUAUGAAGAAGGCCUUCGGGUUGUAAAGUACUUUCAGCGGGGAGGAAGGCGAUAAGGUUAAUAACCUUGUCGAUUGACGUUACCCGCAGAAGAAGCACCGGCUAACUCCGUGCCAGCAGCCGCGGUAAUACGGAGGGUGCAAGCGUUAAUCGGAAUUACUGGGCGUAAAGCGCACGCAGGCGGUCUGUCAAGUCGGAUGUGAAAUCCCCGGGCUCAACCUGGGAACUGCAUUCGAAACUGGCAGGCUAGAGUCUUGUAGAGGGGGGUAGAAUUCCAGGUGUAGCGGUGAAAUGCGUAGAGAUCUGGAGGAAUACCGGUGGCGAAGGCGGCCCCCUGGACAAAGACU
rnacentral:rRNA from 1 species